rnacentral:rRNA from 1 species
UACGAAGGGAGCUAGUGUUGUUCGGAAUCACUGGGCGUAAAGCGCACGUAGGCGGAUUUGUCAGUCAGGGGUGAAAUCCCGGGGCUCAACCUCGGAACUGCCUUUGAUACAGCAAGUCUUGAGUUCGAGAGAGGUGGGUGGAAUUCCUAGUGUAGAGGUGAAAUUCGUAGAUAUUAGGAAGAACACCGGUGGCGAAGGCGGCCCACUGGCUCGAUACUGACGCUGAGGUGCGAAAGCGUGGGGAGCAAACAGG